rnacentral:lncRNA from 1 species
ACUUGGAACCAGAGACCUGCAUUCUCUAGCUCUCAUCCUCACCAGCAAUGCCACGUUGGAAGAGCCCCUCCGAGGCAGCAUGUUGUACUGGAAAGAGAACAUGAUUUGGAAUCCAGUAUGAGGAUACUGAGGCUCAGCAAGAGAAGGUGAUUUCUUCAAGUUAAAGUUGGGAUUUGGACCUCAAUUUCCCAACUUCAAGUCAAGUGCUCUUCCUAUGUGAU